rnacentral:rRNA from 1 species
UCCGUAGGUGAACCUGCGGAAGGAUCAUUACAAGUGAGGCUACCGAACGUUGGAGACAGCGGUUAGGAGCUUACACCCACCCGUGUUUACAUACUAUUGUUGCUUUGGCGGGCCGUGGCCUCCACUGCGGGCUCUGCUCGUGUGUGCCCGCCAGAGGACCAAACUCUGAAUGUUAGUGAUGUCUGAGUACUAUCUAAUAGUUAAAACUUUCAACAACGGAUCUCUUGGUUCUGGCAUCGAUGAAGAACGCAGCGAAAUGCGAUAAGUAACGUGAAUUGCAGAAUUCAGUAAAUCAUCGAAUCUUUGAACGCACAUUGCGCCCUGUGGUAUUCCGCAGGGCAUGCCUGUUCGAGCGUCAUUUAACCACUCACGCCUAGCGUGGUAUUGGGGCACGCGGUCUCGCGGCCCUCAAAAUUAGUGGCGGCGCCGGUGGGCUCUAAGCGUAGUACAUACUCCCGCUAUAGAGUUCCCCCGGUGGCUCGCCAGAACCCCCAAUUUUUUACAGGUUGACCUCGGAUCAGGUAGGGAUACCCGCUGAACUUAAGCAUAUC